UAAAACUAAACCUCCACGAUGAAAGACUUUACUUUCUAAUCCAAGAGCAACACCUCAAAGAAUCAACAAACUGACAUAAUUGACCCAAAUCUUUGAUCAACGAACCAAGUUACCCCAGGGAUAACAGCGCAAUCCAUUUCAAGAGCUCAUAUCGACAAGUGGGUUUACGACCUCGAUGUUGGAUCAGGGUAUCCCAGUGGUGCAGCCGCUACUAAAGGUUCGUUUGUUCAACGAUUAAAACCCU
rnacentral:rRNA from 1 species